rnacentral:rRNA from 1 species
UGAGGAAUAUUGGUCAAUGGGCGAGAGCCUGAACCAGCCAAGUCGCGUGAGGGAAGACGGUCCUACGGAUUGUAAACCUCUUUUGUCGGGAGCAAUAAAAGCGUACGCGUACGCAGAUGCGAGUACCCGAAGAAAAGCAUCAGCUAACUCCGUGCCAGCAGCCGCGGUAAUACGGAGGAUGCGAGCGUUAUCCGGAUUUAUUGGGUUUAAAGGGUGCGCAGGCGGAAAGUGCAAGUCAGCGGUCAAACGACGGGGCUCAACCCGCUCUCCGCCGUUGAAACUGUCUUUCUAGAGUGAGCGAGAAGUAUGCGGAAUGCGUGGUGUAGCGGUGAAAUGCUUAGAUAUCACGCAGAACUCCGAUUGCGAAGGCAGCAUACCGGCGCUCAACUGACGCUCAUGCACGAAAGCGUGGGA